rnacentral:misc_RNA from 1 species
GAUGAAGAACGCAGCGAAAUGCGAUAAGUAAUGCGAAUUGCAGAAUUUCCGUGAGUCAUCGAAUCUUUGAACGCACAUUGCGCCCCUUGGUAUUCCGAGGGGCAUGCCUGUUCGAGCGUCAUUAUAACCCCUCAAGCUCAGCUUGAUGUUGGGGCCUGCUGCACUGGCAGCCCUUAAAAUCAGUGGCGGCGCCAUCUGGCUCUAAGCGUAGUAAUUCUUCUCGCUAUGGAGUCCUGGUGGAUGCUUGCCAUCAACCCCCAAUUUUUCUAUGGUUGACCUCGGAUCAGGUAGGGAUACCCGCUGAACUUAAGCAUAUCAAUAAGCGGAGGA